rnacentral:rRNA from 1 species
UUUCUUAUUAAAAUUAUAAUAAGUAACAUCUGCUCAAUGAAUAUUUAAUAGCCGCGGAAUUUUAACCGUGCUAAGGUAGCAUAAUCAUUAGCCCUAUAAUUGAGGGCUUGUAUGAAUGAUGAAACAUUUCAAUAACUUUUUUAAUAUUUCUAAUUUAACUUUAAUUAAAAGUUAAAAUACUUUUAUAUUAAUAAUAGACGACAAGACCCUAAUGAACUUCACUUUAGUUUAGCUGGGGCAGCAAAACAAAAAUAAUUUUUUUUUAAAUUUUUUAAAUAAAUGACCCAUUACAAUUGAUUAUUUGUUCAAGUUACCAUAGGGAUAACAGCGUAAUUAAUUUUUGAAGCUCUUAUUUAAAAAUAUUAGAUUGCGACCUCGAUGUUGAAUUAUUGUUACUAUUUUAACGCAACCGUUAAAUAAGUGGGUCUGUUCGACCCUUAAACCAAUACA